GGAGUCUCCUCCACUCUGUCCAAUAGAUGGGAGUCUCCUCCACUCUGUCCAAAAGAUGGGAGUCUCCUCCACUCUGUACAAUAGAUGGGAUCUCCUCCACUCUGUCCAAUAGAUGGAAGUCUCCUCCACUCUGUCCAAUAGACGGAGUAUCCUCCACUCUGUCCAAUAGACGGAGUAUCCUCCACUCUGUCCAAUAGACGUAGUAUCCUCCACUCUGUCCAACAGACGGAGUCUCCUCCACUCUGUCCAAAAGAUGGGAGUCUCCUCCACUCUGUCCAACAGAUGGAGUCUCCUCCACUCUGUCCAAUAGACGGAGUCUCCUCCACUCUGUCCAAUACAUGGGAGUCUCCUCCACUCUGUCCAAUAGAUGGGAGUCUCCUCCACUCUGUCCAAUAGAUGGGAGUCUCCUCCACUCUGUCCAAUAGACGGAGUCUCCUCCACUCUGUCAAAUAGACGGAGUCUCCUCCACUCUGUCCAAUAGACGGAGUCUCCUCCACUCUGUCCAAUAGACGGAGUCUCCUCCACUCUGUCCAAUAGACGGAGUCUCCUCCACUUUGUCCAAUAGACGGAGUCUCCUCCACUCUGUACAAUAGACGGAGUCUCCUCUACUCUGUCCAAUAGAUGGGAGUCUCCUCCACUCUGUCCAAUAGACGGAGUCUCCUCUACUCUGUCCAAUAGAUGGGAGUCUCCUCCACUCUGUCCAAUAGAUGGGAGUCUCC
ensembl:lncRNA